AGAGUUCGAUCCUGGCUCAGGAUGAACGCUGGCGGCGCGCCUAACACAUGCAAGUCGAACGGCACCCCUCUCCGGAGGGAAGCGAGUGGCGAACGGCUGAGUAACACGUGGAGAACCUGCCCCCUCCCCCGGGAUAGCCGCCCGAAAGGACGGGUAAUACCGGAUACCCCGGGGUGCCGCAUGGCACCCCGGCUAAAGCCCCGACGGGAGGGGAUGGCUCCGCGGCCCAUCAGGUAGACGGCGGGGUGACGGCCCACCGUGCCGACAACGGGUAGCCGGGUUGAGAGACCGACCGGCCAGAUUGGGACUGAGACACGGCCCAGACUCCUACGGGAGGCAGCAGUGGGGAAUCUUGCGCAAUGGGGGGAACCCUGACGCAGCGACGCCGCGUGCGGGACGGAGGCCUUCGGGUCGUAAACCGCUUUCAGCAGGGAAGAGUCAAGACUGUACCUGCAGAAGAAGCCCCGGCUAACUACGUGCCAGCAGCCGCGGUAAUACGUAGGGGGCGAGCGUUAUCCGGAUUCAUUGGGCGUAAAGCGCGCGUAGGCGGCCCGGCAGGCCGGGGGUCGAAGCGGGGGGCUCAACCCCCCGAAGCCCCCGGAACCUCCGCGGCUUGGGUCCGGUAGGGGAGGGUGGAACACCCGGUGUAGCGGUGGAAUGCGCAGAUAUCGGGUGGAACACCGGUGGCGAAGGCGGCCCUCUGGGCCGAGACCGACGCUGAGGCGCGAAAGCUGGGGGAGCGAACAGGAUUAGAUACCCUGGUAGUCCCAGCCGUAAACGAUGGACGCUAGGUGUGGGGGGACGAUCCCCCCGUGCCGCAGCCAACGCAUUAAGCGUCCCGCCUGGGGAGUACGGCCGCAAGGCUAAAACUCAAAGGAAUUGACGGGGGCCCGCACAAGCAGCGGAGCAUGUGGCUUAAUUCGAAGCAACGCGAAGAACCUUACCAGGGCUUGACAUAUGGGUGAAGCGGGGGAGACCCCGUGGCCGAGAGGA
rnacentral:rRNA from 1 species